UUCAGAGCGAACGCUGGCGGGCAGGGCUUAAACACAUGCAAAAGUCGAAAACGGGGCAUUCGGUGCUAGUGGGCAGACGGGUGAGUAACACGUGGGAACGUACCUUUCGGUUCGGAAUAACUCAGGGAAACUUGAACUAAUACCGGAUACGCCCUUCGGGGGAAAGAUUUAUCGCCGAUAGAUCGGCCGCGUCUGAUUAGCUAGUUGGUGAGGUAACGGCUCACCAAGGCGACGAUCAGUAGCUGGUCUGAGAGGAUGAUCAGCCACAUUGGGACUGAGACACGGCCCAAACUCCUACGGGAGGCAGCAGUGGGGAAUAUUGGACAAUGGGCGCAAGCCUGAUCCAGCCAUGCCGCGUGAGUGAUGAAGGCCUUAGGGUUGUAAAGCUCUUUUGUCCGGGAAGAUAAUGACUGUACCGGAAGAAUAAGCCCCGGCUAACUUCGUGC
rnacentral:rRNA from 1 species